ACAGAGUAUUAGCUCCGGCUGUAAACAGAGUAUUGGGUCUGGCUGUAAACAGAGUAUUAGUUCCGGCUGUAAACAGAGUAUUAGCUCUGGCUGUAAACUGAGUAUUGGAUCUGGCUGUAAACAGAGUAUUGGGUCUGGCUGUAAACAGAGUAUUAGGUCUGGCUGUAAACAGAGUAUUGGGUCUGGCUGUAAACAGAGUAUUAGUUCCGGCUGUAAACAGAGUAUUAGCUCUGGCUGUANNNNNNNNNNCAGAAUGUCAGUGGAAGGGAGGACAGUAAACAGGAGACACUAUGAGCCGAACAUAACAGUCAGUAGAAGAGAGGACAGUAACAGGAGACACUGAGCUGAACAUAACAGAAUGUCAGUGGACUGGAGGACAGUAGCAGGGGAUCCAACUGUGGUUUGUGACUACUAUGAAUACCCACUGUGAACUUUCAUUAUCCUCCCUCAUCAGGAGGGAGAGAAAUUAGAAAAUAUAUUCAAGAUAUUUCUGUCAUUAAGAUAAUACAUAAUCAACUUUAUUUUUCAUGAGAUUCCUCUUGGUUUUCAGUGAUGAUAACAUGUAUACUUUCCUAUUUUCCAAAAGACACAUGAAAGACUCAUCUUUUGGAAACACACACACACACACACACACACACACCAGACCGCCUAGCCAAAAUACCAGAGAGAAAGA
rnacentral:lncRNA from 13 species